CAGGAGGCAGCCCAGGUGCCAGCACGACCAGUUCCUGCAAGCAGAGCAGAACAAAGCUGGGCUGGAGCAAGCUGGCUGCCCUAAUCUGUUUCUGCUGCGCGUAUCACAUUGGUACUUAAGAGGGUACAUAUGCUCAACCUUAAAAAGCAACUGAAACGUGACAGGUUUCCCUGCAGUUUGGAUGGCAGCCAGCCCUAUCUGCUGACUUCAGGAGCUGCUGAUGUUCCCUUGGUGCCUGGGAGGGACCCCUGUCACCUGAACUGUCACCAGGACAGGAGCUGCGCUCUCCACUCGGUACCCUGAGACUGUGAGGUCUGCCAAAUGAUCAUUCACGAGGAUGUUAAACAGGACUCACACAAGACACGAUUCAUCCCUGUAAGGCUUUGCCACAUCUCCCUUGACCUAAGGGCUACAACCACCAACAAACCGAACCGGCAGAUGACUGAGCCUUCUCCACAUCCAUUGCUUUCAUGGGUGAAGUAUGACAAAGUCGGUGCCUCUCUGAGUACCUUUCCCACAUCUCUGCUGCCACCGUCCCUGAACCCUCUCGAGGCACACAGGCCAUAGCAGAAAAAGAAUUUCAAGGCAGCGUUGUUCCUUUACAGUUCACUGAAGACAAAGCGAUGACUGCACUUAAGUGCUUUGCUGGAUGAGGACGUAAAGUAUGCUGCAGCUAUUCAUGUGAUUUUUUUCUUAAAAAACCAUGGUGAGCUACAUAUUAGUGCAAUGCUAUCCUAUCUUCUUCUGUAACAUUUUGUUUCCUUUUAGAUUUUUUGUUUGUUUUUGCCUACAGAUAGAUUGUCCAGAGAUUGUCACUGAAUUGUCUAUUACAAUGCACUGAUGCCUAUUCUGAAUCGACAUACUCAAUUCAGUACCUAACAGCAUUUGGAAACUGCUCAAAUCACAUAUAAUCUGACAGUGUGUUGUCUCGUUUUCCACCUUUCCUCAGUUCCCUCUGGAGUACACCCAGAAUAGAUCAUUUGUCAUUGCAAAUCUUGGAAACGAAACUGGAUUUCAGUUAAUGGAGAACUGCACACGAACAUUUGUGUAUUCUAUACUAAAAAACAAACAAACAACUAUUAGUGUAAUAGUAA
ensembl:lncRNA